rnacentral:rRNA from 1 species
AUCAGGUAGUAGUGGGUGUAAUGUACCUACUAGCCGACAACGGGUACGGGUUGUGAGAGCAAGAGCCCGGAGAUGGAUUCUGAGACAUGAAUCCAGGCCCUACGGGGCGCAGCAGGCGCGAAAACUUUACAAUGCGGGAAACCGUGAUAAGGGGACACCGAGUGUCAGCAUCAUAUGCUGGCUGUCCAGGUGUGUAAAAUACACCUGUUAGCAAGGGCCGGGCAAGACCGGUGCCAGCCGCCGCGGUAACACCGGCGGCCCGAGUGGUGAUCGUGAUUAUUGGGUCUAAAGGGUCCGUAGCCGGUUUGGUCAGUCCUCCGGGAAAUCUGAUAGCUCAACUAUUAGGCUAUCGGGGGAUACUACCAGACUUGGAACCGGGAGAGGUAAGAGGUACUACAGGGGUAGGAGUGAAAUCUUGUAAUCCCUGUGGGACCACCUGUGGCGAAGGCGUCUUACCAGAACGGGUUCGACGGUGAGGGACGAAAGCUGGGGGCACGAACCGGAUUAGAUACCCGGGUAGUCCCAGCCGUAAACGAUGCUCGCUAGGUGUCAGGCAUGGCGCGACCGUGUCUGGUGCCGCAGGGAAGCCGUGAAGCGAGCCACCUGGGAAGUACGGCCGCAAGGCUGAAACUUAAAGGAAUUGGCGGGGG